GACUUCGAAUGUCAUAUGAUAGUGCAAAAUAAAUGUAUUUUUCGGUGCACUCGUGCCAUAAUUGACCUGAAGACCUCCAGACAAAUCGGAACUCGUCACUAAAUAAAUCUCUGCAUAAAUCGCUAACUUCACGGAAGUUCGAUGCCGACCAAUUGACAAAUAACACGCAAAAACUCCACCCUGAAAAACCUAUCGCUGCUUAUAUCAGGGCCCUUGAACGGAGGUUGAUGCAAGGGUCUGAUCUAUUGAGAUGCCAUUGCCGCGUUGGUGAAUUGACAUGCCCCCGUCGUUAUGGUAAUGAUUAUGCUUUAAAGAACAGGACAUUGGAAGAAUCAAUAAUUUGAAUAGCCAAAGAUGGAACAUGGAGCUCACAUGAUUCCACUUCCUGCUGUUAUUUUGCUUUUUCUUAUCUUUUUGGUUUUCACAUUGAUAUUCAUGUUUAGACAACCUGUGAUGUUCUCUCAGUCAGUGGUGCAUUGGACAUCUCAAGAUGCUGUCCAAGUACACCUUGAUCCUUUGCACAUACCAUUUUCACUUGAUGUGCUUGAAGAAGGAUCAGGCAUUAAUGCUGGUGGCACUAAUACAGCGGUGCGGUGCGAACUGAAGUCGGAGCGAGCAUGUCACCUCAAGUUACUCUGGAAAGUUCCAUGUUCGUCGCUGGGUCGCCUGCUGAAUAUGGUGACAGCGGCGGAUGUCCUGCUUCUCCACGGUGACACGCGAAGUUUCGGGCCCGGCGAACACAGCAUCGAGGCGGUGUACCAGGGGGAAGAGACCUUAGAGGAGCACUCGUUGCCAAGGAGCCACUAUCCCCUGGUGGCCGUCGUCGAAAUCACCGCCGCGCCGGAAUCGCCCAGCAGUGUGGUGGCGCUGGUGGCAGUUAUUCACGUCAGGGACACCCACACCAGCAUGGCCACGUCGGUGCUGCACCGGUACGUGCGCCAGGCCGACGGCAGAGUCACCUUG